ACGCGUGAGUAACCUGCCCUGGAGUGGGGGACAACAGUUGGAAACGACUGCUAAUACCGCAUAAGCCCACGAUCCGGCAUCGGAUUGAGGGAAAAGGAUUUAUUCGCUUCAGGAUGGACUCGCGUCCAAUUAGCUAGUUGGUGAGGUAACGGCCCACCAAGGCGACGAUUGGUAGCCGGACUGAGAGGUUGAACGGCCACAUUGGGACUGAGACACGGCCCAGACUCCUACGGGAGGCAGCAGUGGGGGAUAUUGCACAAUGGGGGAAACCCUGAUGCAGCGACGCCGCGUGGAGGAAGAAGGUUUUCGGAUUGUAAACUCCUGUCGUUAGGGACGAUAAUGACGGUACCUAACAAGAAAGCACCGGCUAACUACGUGCCAGCAGCCGCGGUAAAACGUAGGGUGCAAGCGUUGUCCGGAAUUACUGGGUGUAAAGGGAGCGCAGGCGGACCGGCAAGUUGGAAGUGAAAACUAUGGGCUCAACCCAUAAAUUGCUUUCAAAACUGCUGGCCUUGAGUAGUGCAGAGGUAGGUGGAAUUCCCGGUGUAGCGGUGGAAUGUGUAGAUAUCGGGAGGAACACCAGUGGCGAAGG
rnacentral:rRNA from 1 species